AGGAGGUAGGGGUGGUGAUGAGGGAGAAAGCAGUGGGAUGGGAGGUGCCACAGCAGAGAACUAAUCCUUUAAAGAGACUCCAGACUGUUUAAUGCAGCAACAGGAAGAAAAUACUUUAUUAGAUUUCACCAUCGAAGCAAAACUAGAAGUAUUCCAGUUGUCUUUUAACUUUGGAAGCUAAUAUAUAAAGAAACAUAGAAGUUUUCUUUCCCCAGUGUGUGUACCUCUAUUCACCUAGACAGAG